rnacentral:rRNA from 1 species
UCGAACAAGUAGAAACACCGGAAGGUGUUUCUAAA